rnacentral:rRNA from 1 species
CCUACGGGAGGCAGCAGUGGGGGAUAUUGCACAAUGGGGGAAACCCUGAUGCAGCGACGCCGCGUGAGUGAAGAAGUAUUUCGGUAUGUAAAGCUCUAUCAGCAGGGAAGAAAAUGACAGUACCUGACCAAGAAGGCCCGGCUAACUACGUGCCAGCAGCCGCGGUAAUCCGUAGGGGGCAAGCGGUAAGCGGAUUUACUGGGUGUAAAGGGAGCGUAGACGGUUAUGUAAGGCUGGUGUGAAAGCCCGGGGGCCAACCCCGGGACUGCUUUGGAAAAUGUGUAACUGGAGUACAGGAGGGGCAGGCGGAAUGCGUGGUGUAGCGGUGAAAUGCGUAGAUAUCAGGAGGAACACCGGCGGCGAAGGCAGCCUGCUGGACUGAAACUGACGUUGAGGCUCGAAAGCGUGGGGAGCAAACAGGAUUAGAUACCCGUGUAGUC